rnacentral:rRNA from 1 species
UACGUAGGGGCCGAGCGUUGUCCGGAGUUAUUGGGCGUAAAGCGCGCGCAGGCGGCCUCGCGCGCCCGACGUGAAAGCCCCCGGCUUAACCGGGGAGGGUCGUUGGGGACGGCGGGGCUUGAGGGCGGGAGAGGUCGGUGGAAUUCCCGGUGUAGUGGUGAAAUGCGUAGAUAUCGAGAGGAACACCUGCGGCGAAGGCGGGUAGCUGGGCCGACACUGACGCUGAUGCGCGAAAGCCAGGGGAGCGAACGGG